CGGAAAAGCGUGACACACGUGUGGGAUCUGAAUAACUCGGUCAUUAUUGGUCAAUUCAUUCAUUCAUCUGCAAAUUUCAUUCUCUCUGCCAAAACCCUAAUCCUUCAUUCAUCGUCAAAAGCUCCAUUUUCACUCCUCAAAAACAAAAAUGGCAAGUUCUUCAUCUCCAAUCUCAGCGCCAUUCUCUUAUCUUCUUCUCAGCUUUGCCUCCAAUUCUAUCUAACUUUUCUUUAUGUUUCAUUUUUCAGGCUGA
rnacentral:lncRNA from 1 species